rnacentral:rRNA from 1 species
AACGAACGCUGGCGGCAGGCUUAACACAUGCAAGUCGAACGGGCCCUUCGGGGUCAGUGGCAGACGGGUGAGUAACACGUGGGAACGUGCCCUUCAGUUCGGAAUAACCCAGGGAAACUUGGGCUAAGACCGGAUACGCCCCUGGGGGGAAAGAUUUAUCGCUGAAGGAUCGGCCCGCGUCGGAUUAGCUAGUUGGUGAGGUAAAGGCUCACCAAGGCGACGAUCAGUAGCUGGUCUGAGAGGAUGAUCAGCCACACUGGGACUGAGACACGGCCCAGACUCCUACGGGAGGCAGCAGUGGGGAAUAUUGGACAAUGGGCGCAAGCCUGAUCCAGCCAUGCCGCGUGAGUGAUGAAGGCCUUAGGGUUGUAAAGCUCUUUCGUCCGGGACGAUAAUGACGGUACCGGAAGAAGAAGCCCCGGCUAACUUCGUACCAGCCGCCGCGGUAAUAC